GUGGGGAAUUUUGGACAAUGGGCGCAAGCCUGAUCCAGCAAUGCCGCGUGCAGGAAGAAGGCCUUCGGGUUGUAAACUGCUUUUGUACGGAACGAAAAGGCUCUGGCUAAUACCUGGAGCUCAUGACGGUACCGUAAGAAUAAGCACCGGCUAACUACGUGCCAGCAGCCGCGGUAAUACGUAGGGUGCGAGCGUUAAUCGGAAUUACUGGGCGUAAAGCGUGCGCAGGCGGUGCUGUAAGACAGGCGUGAAAUCCCCGGGCUUAACCUGGGAAUGGCGCUUGUGACUGCAGUGCUGGAGUGUGGCAGAGGGGGAUGGAAUUCCGCGUGUAGCAGUGAAAUGCGUAGAUAUGCGGAGGAACACCGAUGGCGAAGGCAAUCCCCUGGGCCUGCACUGACGCUCAUGCACGAAAGCGUGGGGAGCAAACAGGAUUAGAAACCCUGGUAGUCC
rnacentral:rRNA from 1 species